rnacentral:rRNA from 1 species
AUUGAACGCUGGCGGCAUGCUUUACACAUGCAAGUCGAACGGCAGCACGGGCUUCGGUCAGGUGGCGAGUGGCGAACGGGUGAGUAAUACAUCGGAACGUACCCAGUAAUGGGGGAUAACUAUCCGAAAGGAUAGCUAAUACCGCAUACGCCCUACGGGGGAAAGAGGGGGAUCGCAAGACCUCUUGUUAUUGGAGCGGCCGAUGGCUGAUUAGCUAGUUGGUGAGGUAAAGGCUCACCAAGGCGACGAUCAGUAGCGGGUCUUAGAGGACGAUCCGCCACACUGGAACUGAGACACGGUCCAGACUCCUACGGGAGGCAGCAGUGGGGAAUCUUGGACAAUGGGCGCAAGCCUGAUCCAGCAAUGCCGCGUGCGUGAAGAAGGCCUUCGGGUUGUAAAGCGCUUUUGUCAGGGAGCAAAAGGUGGUGGCUAAUAUCCAUCGCUCUUGAGAGUACCUGAAGAAUAAGGACCGGCUAACUACGUGCCAGCCGCCGCCGUAA